rnacentral:piRNA from 1 species
UCACUCUGUAAGAUGACCCGUCCAG